GUUGAAACACCAGUACCCGUACGAUCACCGAAGUUACGCAACGUCGAGCAUGAUCAGUACCCUGAUGGGUGACUGCUUGGGAAUACCAAGUGUUGUAAG